UAAUUCCCGUUGAUCCUGCGGGAGAAUGCUGCUAUGGGAGUUCGACUAAGCCAUGCAAGUCAGAGGGCCUCUUCGGAGGCACAGGCUGAAUGCUCUGUAACACGUCAAUAAUCUGCCCUUAGGCACGGGAUAACCAUGGGAAACUGUGGCUAAAACCGUAUAGGUUAUGGAAACUGGAAUGUUCCGUAACUUAAAGGCAACACCUAAGGAUGAGUUGGCGGCCGAUUAGGUUGUUGGUAGUGUAAAGGACUACCAAGCCUACGAUCGGUACGGGCCGUGAGAGCGGUAGCCCGGAGAAGGGUACUGAGAUACUGACCCUAGCCCUACGGGGUGCAGCAGGCGCGAAACCUUUACACUGUACGUAAGUGCGAUAAGGGAACUCCCAGUGCUCAUGCAUUGCAUGGGCUUUUGCUAUGUGUAAAAAGCUUGGCGAAUAAGUGGUGGGUAAGACGGGUGCCAGCCGCCGCGGUAACACCUGCGCCACGAGUGGCAUUCAUAUUUAUUGGGCCUAAAGCGUUCGUAGCCGGAUUGAUAAGUCUUGAGUGAAAUCGUUGCGCUUAACAAAACGACGUGCUUGAGAUACUAUUAAUCUAGGGACCGGGAGGCGUCAAGGGUAUUCGAGAGGGAGCGGUAAAAUGCUGUAAUCUCUCGAGGACCACCUGUGGCGAAGGCGCUUGACGAGAACGGGUCCGACGGUGAGGAACGAAAGCUAGGGGAGCAAACCGGAUUAGAUACCCGAGUAGUCCUAUGCUGUAAACGCUGUGUACUAGAUGUUGCAUAUUCUCCGUGAAUAUGCAGUGUCGGAGCGAAGGUAUUAAGUACACCGCCUG
rnacentral:rRNA from 1 species